UGAAUUACCAUAGGGCCAUAA
rnacentral:miRNA from 1 species